UCGAGAAUCUUCGGCAAUGGGCGCAAGCCUGACCGAGCGACGCCGCGUGGAGGAUGAAGGCCUUCGGGUUGUAAACUCCUGUCGAGGGGGAGGAAGGGGCGACCUUGACCGAUCCCUGGAGGAAGCACGGGCUAAGUUCGUGCCAGCAGCCGCGGUAAGACGAACCGUGCGAACGUUAUUCGGAAUCACUGGGCUUAAAGCGCGUGUAGGCGGAUGGGUGCGUCGGAUCCUGAAAGCCCCCGGCUCAACCGGGGAAGCGGGGCCGAAACGACCCGUCUCGAGGGACGUAGGGGGAUCUGGAACUUCCGGUGGAGCGGUGAAAUGCGUUGAGAUCGGAAGGAACGCCCGUGGCGAAAGCGAGAUCCUGGACGUCUUCUGACGCUGAGACGCGAAAGCUAGGGGAGCAAACGGGAUUAGAUACCCCCGUAGUCC
rnacentral:rRNA from 1 species